rnacentral:rRNA from 1 species
UUAAACAAGAGAGUUUGAUCCUGGCUCAGGAUGAACGCUGGCGGCGUGCCUAACACAUGCAAGUCGAACGGAGUUAUGCAGAGGAAGUUUUCGGAUGGAAUCGGCGUAACUUAG